rnacentral:rRNA from 1 species
AGUGAACGCUGGCGGUAGGCCUAACACAUGCAAGUCGAACGGCAGCACAGUAAGAGCUUGCUCUUACGGGUGGCGAGUGGCGGACGGGUGAGGAAUACAUCGGAAUCUACUUUUUCGUGGGGGAUAACGUAGGGAAACUUACGCUAAUACCUCAUACGACCUACGGGUGAAAGCAGGGGAUCUUCGGACCUUUCGCGAUUGAAUGAGCCGAUGUCGGAUUAGCUAGUUGGCGGGGUAAAGGCACACCAAGGCGACGAUCCGUAGCUGGUCUGAGAGGAUGAUCAGCCACACUGGAACUGAGACACGGUCCAGACUCCUACGGGAGGCAGCAGUGGGGAAUAUUGGACAAUGGGCGAAAGCCUGAUCCAGCCAUACCGCGUGGGUGAAGAAGGUCUUCGGGUUGUAAAGCCCUGUUGUUGGGAAAGAAAAGCAGCAGGUGAAUACCCCGCUGUUCUGACGGUACCUAAAGAAUAAGCACCGGCUAACUUCGUG